rnacentral:rRNA from 1 species
UACGUAGGGUGCGAGCGUUAAUCGGAAUUACUGGGCGUAAAGCGUGCGCAGGCGGUUCGUUAAGUCCGAUGUGAAAGCCCCGAGCUCAACUUGGGAACUGCAUUGGAAACUGGCGGGCUGGAGUGUGGCAGAGGGGGGUGGAAUUCCACGUGUAGCAGUGAAAUGCGUAGAGAUGUGGAGGAACACCGAUGGCGAAGGCAGCCCCCUGGGCCAACACUGACGCUCAGGCACGAAAGCGUGGGGAGCAAACAGG